rnacentral:rRNA from 1 species
AGAUUGAACGCUGGCGGCAUGCUUUACACAUGCAAGUCGAGCGGCAGCGCGGGGGCAACCCUGGCGGCGAGCGGCGAACGGGUGAGGAACACAUCGGAACGUGCCCCGGAGUGGGGGAUAACGCCGCGAAAGCGGCGCUAAUACCGCAUAUGCUCUGAGGAGGAAAGCGGGGGACCUGUGAGGGCCUCGCGCUCUGGGAGCGGCCGAUGUCCGAUUAGCUAGUUGGUGGGGUAAUGGCUCACCAAGGCGACGAUCGGUAGCUGGUCUGAGAGGAUGAUCAGCCACACUGGGACUGAGACACGGCCCAGACUCCUACGGGAGCAGCAGUGGGGAAUUUGGACAAUGGGGGCAACCCUGAUCCAGCCAUGCCGCGUGCGGGAAGAAGGCCUGGUGUAACGUCGUUAGUC